CUGCCAUAUCACGUUGAUACACUGGUUUUCAUACGAUCACCAAAGUUAAGCAACAUUGAGCCUGGUCAGUACAUAGAUGGGUGACCACUUGGAAAUACCAGGUGCU